rnacentral:rRNA from 1 species
CUAUAAUGCAAGUCGAGCGAAUGGAUUAAGAGCUUGCUCUUAUGAAGUUAGCGGCGGACGGGUGAGUAACACGUGGGUAACCUGCCCAUAAGACUGGGAUAMCUCCGGGAAACCGGGGCUAAUACCGGAUAACAUUUUGAACCGCAUGGUUCGAAAUUGAAAGGCGGCUUCGGCUGUCACUUAUGGAUGGACCCGCGUCSCAUUAGCUAGUUGGUGAGGUAACGGCUCACCAAGGCAACGAUGCGUAGCCGACCUGAGAGGGUGAUCGGCCACACUGGGACUGARACACGGCCCAGACUCCUACGGGAGGCARCAGUAGGGAAUCUUKCGCAAUGGACGARAGUCCGACGGARAAACGCCGCGUGAGUGAUGAAGGCUUCGGA